rnacentral:rRNA from 1 species
AUGAACGCUGGCGGCGUGCCUAAUACAUGCAAGUCGAGCGAACAGACGAGGAGCUUGCUCCUCUGACGUUAGCGGCGGACGGGUGAGUAACACGUUGAUAACCUACCUAUAAGACUGGGAUAACUUCGGGAAACCGGAGCUAAUACCGGAUAAUAUAUUGAACCGCAUGGUUCAAUAGUGAAAGACGGUUUUGCUGUCACUUAUAGAUGGAUCCGCGCCGCAUUAGCUAGUUGGUAAGGUAACGGCUUACCAAGGCAACGAUGCGUAGCCGACCUGAGAGGGUGAUCGGCCACACUGGAACUGAGACACGGUCCAGACUCCUACGGGAGGCAGCAGUAGGGAAUCUUCCGCAAUGGGCGAAAGCCUGACGGAGCAACGCCGCGUGAGUGAUGAAGGCCUUCGGAUCGUAAAACUCUGUUAUUAGGGAAGAACAAAUGUGUAAGUAACUAUGCACGUCUUGACGGUACCUAAUCAGAAAGCCACGGCUAACUACGUG